GGAUCAGACGUGAUUACCCGCUGAACUUAAGCAUAUCACUAAGCGGAGGAAAAGAAAC
rnacentral:rRNA from 1 species